GACCUGGUGGUGUACUGGUAACAUGCCUGCUUGUAGUACCGUAGUUUUGAUCUUUACGGCGGGAGUCGCUCGUUCGAUUCGGGCCCGGGUCC